rnacentral:lncRNA from 1 species
AAGUGGAUCCCGAGCACCGUAGCACAUAACCGAAGACCUAUAAUUUUCCGGGCUGCGAAGCGGCGCGCGGUUGGUGCGCAAUUGCGAGUUUGGUCCGUGUCAGAUAGCGGGUGCCGCGGGCAGCCGAUUACAAGUGGCUACGAGCAAUCAGAGAGUAAGUUAAGGUGAGUUGUGCUUACUGAAGCGACUAGGUCGCCAUUAUGUCUAAGAGAAUUGUGAUUUCGUAUUGAUG